ACAAAUCUCAUUUUGUGUAAUAACACACACGUAUCGGCACAUAUUCCGGGGUGCCCUUCGGGGUCGGUAAUAUGGGAUACGUGGAGGCAUAACC
rnacentral:sRNA from 1 species